rnacentral:rRNA from 1 species
ACGAACGCUGGCGGCGUGGAUUAGGCAUGCAAGUCGAUCGGACCAAUCCCGGGUAGCAAUACACGGGGGCGGUUAGAGGCGAACGGGUGAGUAACACGUGACCAAUCUGCCCCAACCUUCGGAACAACACCGGGAAACUGGUGCUAAUACCGGAUGUGAUCGCGGGAGGGAAUCCUUCUGCGAGGAAAGGCCGCAAGGCCGGGUUGGGAGGAGGUCGCGGCCUAUUAGCUAGUUGGUGAGGUAACGGCUCACCAAGGCGACGAUGGGUAGCUGGUCUGAGAGGAUGGUCAGCCACAUCGGAACUGAGACACUGUCCGGACUUCUACGGAAGGCUGCAGUCGAGAAUCUUGGGCAAUGCGCGAAAGCGUGACCCAGCGACGCCGCGUGAGGGACGAAGGCCUUCGGGUCGUAAACCUCUUUUAGCUGGAAAGAACCCCGCAAGGGUUGACGGUACCAGCGGAAUCAGCCACGGCUAACUACGU